GCCAGCAUGGUGUGGUGGUUUAAGCAUUGGACUAUAACUCUGGAGACCAGGGUUCAAAGCCCAGUUCUGCUA